rnacentral:rRNA from 1 species
CAUCGAUGAAGAACGCAACGAAAUGCGAUAAGUAAUGUGAAUUGCAGAAUUCAGUGAAUCAUCGAAUCUUUGAACGCAUCUUGCGCUCCUUGGUACUCCGAGGAGCAUGCCUGUUUGAGUGUCAU